CUCAGUUAAUAAAUCCUUACUAUUUGUUAAAAAAAAAAAAAAAAAAAAAAUCUAAGAUUCAAUGUCUGCUUUCUACUUUGCCUAGAUUUGAUCCUUUAAACUUUAUCAAAGGGAUUGCUAAAUAGCAGUUUGUGUGUAUAGCAGUGACAUUCUGGAGGAUUCUCUAUAGAGACAACAUCUUUUAUAACUAUUAGAUACCCUGUUGUGAAUUGUUGUGAAAGAUAAAAGUUGUAAAGAAUUUAGCUUCAAUCAUAUCUAACUCUAUGAUCAUUGUUACAUAGAAUUUCUUUCAUUUAAGUCAUAGGUUACAAUCAAAUACAAAAUAUGUGUCCACUUUCCUAAUUUCUUUAAAGUUGCUGCUAUACAAGGAAAAUAUACAAGGGAUUGCCUUUAAGUAAUGUUUCUUAAAUUUCCUUAUGGAUUAUUUUGAAGUUUUUUCCUUCACUUUUGUCAAUGGUCAAUUGUAGUGUGCUUGAUUUAGGUGCAUUUUUUGGGUGUAUUCAUGCUGUAAACAUUCUUUUCAUUCCCAUUUAGAAUAUGUGCUCCACAUGUUUAACAAAAAGUCUCACUCAAAAUUGAAACUUACUGCUUAAAAUUGAAACUUACCAAACAACACCAUUUGAAAUCCCAACCAAAUUAGUUAUGAUUUGCACCCAAGUUGUUUCGAGGGCUAUGGUUAUAUAAUAGGAAAAGCAGGUAAAGAUUCUAGAAUCUUUAAUUGUUUUCAUUUGAGUUUUGGGUGAGAAUUUUAGCUAAAGGCUUGCUUCACUUCUUCAAGCUUUGCCCCUUACUUUAAAAUAAACUCAGCCCGAGUCCCCAGAAAACUUAGCCAGACGCUCUACCCCUCUCCCUCUUUUAGACGCACGCUCUGCCCUUUUUCCUCUCACUCAUCUGUUUCUGCCUCCGCUUCUCCAACCUCUAUGCCAAGAGGGAGAGUUGUGAAACCAAGAGAUAGUUAUGUUGAAGACAAUGGAAGAACAAGUGUAUUUCCAUGGUUUUAGAAUGAACAGGA